UGAAAAAACAAAUUGGCCUUGUCAGUCGCGGGUAAAAUCAGUGCGACUCACAAUAUCGAAAAAAGUCUCGCGUUAAGUAUUUAGUGUAAAAGAGAAUAUAUAAUGUUAGGUCUGUUUAAGUACUAAACAAACAACAAAUUUCAGCCCACAGUAAAAGCAGAAUAUCUACUCAAACAGAAAAUCUACCUCCAAAAGACAGCGGGUAAUAAUAAAUAUCCUGAGAAAAAUUGUUUCAUGUGUAGACGGGGUGUAAUGCAAAAAAACCGCGUUUUAUUUGAUCACAUUGAAAGCGUUGCUUUGCGUUGCAUUUAUGUUCGCUAUAUCAGUGUUACCUCUGUUAAGAAAAAAGUGUUAAAAUCAAACAGAAACUUAACAUUCGUGGAAAUAAUGAAUUAUUGAAUCCAAGUAAUUGUUUAAGUGACAAAAUGUUGCUAAGUAAACGGUAUUUAAAAAAAAAAAAAACAAUUCAUUUCGAUAAAACAUGUUCGUAAGUAUAAUGUUUGUUCGAAGUCCACUUUAAAUUAUAGAUAUAACUUCAUUGGCCACUUUUUGCAAAAAGUGCAAAAGUAAAAAUAUUUUUCUCUUACUAGCUCCACCCACCGUUUUUUCGCGUGCAAAAAGUGCAUAAAUUGCUUUAAAACUUAAAAUGAAAGGUUUUCAACACAUUUUUUAAGUUUUAAUAAGUUUCAUUAAAAUAAAUAUACAUAUAUUAAUUCCAAAGGUAUAUUUUAAGAAAAGUUUCAUUACAUUUUAAAAAUUUCUACACGGCAACACUUUUUUUCAAACUCAUCGGUCAUCGCAUCAAUUCUAUCGCACAUGCGCAGUAAGUGUGUGUGUCGAACGAAAACGGUAAAAUUGUUGCGUUGAGUUUUCAGUCUGGCUGGUUCUUGGAUAAAGUAAGGAAGCAAAAGCAAGUUAGUUCGUGUUGGAUACAUUUUGAUAUAAAGGUGCCAAAGAUCAAUUUUAAAUCGAAGUCCACAUUAAAUUAAAUAUAUAUUAAUUCCAAAGGCUGGCUCUGGGAUAAAUUAAGGAAGCAAAAGCAAAUAACUUUGUAUUGGAUACAUUUUGAUUGUUGAGAAAAUGAUUCUUUUCAUUACUGCUGUAUAUAAAGGGUUAUCAUCAAUAAUAAAAGUCCAAGGACAAUCUAGUUUAUUAACAUACUUAGAGUUGGCCAAAGCUGUCAAAGAUCAAUUUAAAAUCAUCGGAAAUAUUAAAUUUUACGAUGCAAAAGCUAACGUUUUUAUUUGUGAUGAGGACGUAGUUGAGUAUGCAAUCCAGUUUAAAUCUUCUCCAAGCUGGACCUUAGGAGUGCUAGACGAUGGCGUUCUUGAAAUUCCAGGUAAACAUUUAGCCAGUUCAUGUGAAAUUAGUAUUUUUUAAAGUCGCUCAUACACAUCACAUUUGUGCCCGCACCGGUCUCAUGAAAAAAAAAGAUUGAUUUUAUUACCUACCUCCGGUGAGCGCUUUUGUGUGAUGUGUAUGGGCUACUUAAAUCUUAACAACCCAUUUAAAUCAGUUUUUAUUAUGAAUUAAAAUCAAUUUCUUUUUUUCAAAUGAUCAGGUUCCCAAGGAAGUUCCCUAUCAAUACGUGACAGUGAUACUACUGUAGCAAAUUCAUCUUCUAUAAGUUACAUUAGUGUAACACCAUCGCCACCACCGAAACAUCCUUCAGAAAUAAUACUUCAAGAAUAAGUGACGUGCAAGAAUACGUUAUAACUAAAAUCAAUGCUCAGGUUCCCAAGGAAGUUCCCUAUUAAUACGUGACAGUGAUACGAGUGCAGAAAAUUAAAGACUCUUAAGGAACCCGGCAUCGAGAAUAUACAAAUAAUUCCUAAAAAUAUAACAUCCUCCAGUAACAAUACAACUCCUCAAGAAGAAACAUCCUUCAGAAAUAAUACUUCAAGAAUAAGUGACGUGCAAGAAUACGUUAUAACUAAAAUCAAUGCUCAGGUAAAAACAUUGAAAUAACUAACUGAAUUUUUCAUUUUACAAAAUAUAUAGGGGCCCUUCUAUGUAACUCUGUUCUACUUUCGGAUCUGUUUAGAAGCUACUUUCGAUUUAAAUUUUUAUCCAAACUACAUAAUGUAUCUGAAUCUUGCGAAUACAUUAUAAAAAUAAAAAUUUGAACACUUAUUGUAGAAUCGAAUUACA